GUCCUUGUAGCUUAAUACCAAAGCAUAGCACUGAAGAUGCUAAGAUGGUUUCUCACAUUUCCCAAGGAC
rnacentral:tRNA from 1 species